rnacentral:tRNA from 1 species
UUAAUUGAAGCCAAAUUAGCGGCAUAUCAUUGUUAAUGAUACCACUGAAUUAUUAAUUCCAAUUAAG